rnacentral:lncRNA from 1 species
UUCCGGUCCAAAUGAAGGGCGCCGAGGUUGGGGAGGAGAGAGAGUGACGGAGGGAUUGAACCGGUGAGCUGGUUGAACGAUAAGUCGAGGUACGUUAAGUUUUUGAGCUGGCUAAAGAACGUCGGAACUGGACCGGUGAGAUUGGUCCAGCUCAGUCUCACCAUUUUGAGGUUGGAGAGUUUGGCAAUGGCAGACGGGAUUUGUCCGGUGACAUUAGUGAGAUGCCGAAAGAUUAGGGUUUCUAAAUAAGGGAGGUCUCCGACUGCUGCCGGAAUCUGGCCGGAGAUGUUACCAGAGAAGAUGGUCAGGGCAUUUACGCGGUUUGUUUUGAGGUCACACUCCAGGCAGUACCAAUCACAGCAGUCAUUGUCCGGGUUCCAUGAGGCUAAAUGGUAAGGGUUGUUCAGGGAUUUUUUGAUUUGUAGGAGGACUUUUUUGUCCUUUGGGUUGCAGCGAUCGGAGAGAGUAGGAGACGGCAGGGAGAGAACGGAAAUAAGAAAGAGGCAGAGUAUGGAAAUCAGCGAGUUGUUCGUCAUGUUGAAUUGGUAGCAACUAAGAAAUUGAGUUCCAUGUAUAUAUAUAUAAAAAUAAUUUCUCCGACGAACCAAAAAAGACAAACCCAGAUCC